UACGGGGGGAGCAAGCGUUGUUCGGAUUUACUGGGCGUAAAGGGCGCGUAGGCGGUUCGCUAAGUUGGAUGUGAAAACUCUGGGCUCAACCCAGAGCCUGCAUCCAAAACUGGCGGGCUAGAGUUCUGGAGGGGUAGCGGAAUUCCUGGUGUAGCGGUGAAAUGCGUAGAUAUCAGGAGGAACACCGGUGGCGAAGGCAGCCCCCUGGGCCGUAACUGACGCUGAGGAGCGAAAGCGUGGGGAGCGAACGAGG
rnacentral:rRNA from 1 species